UACGUAGGGUGCGAGCGUUAAUCGGAAUUACUGGGCGUAAAGUGUGCGCAGGCGGCCGCGCAAGUCGAGUGUGAAAUCCCCGAGCUUAACUUGGGAAUUGCGCUCGAAACUACGUGGCUGGAGUGUGGCAGAGGAAGGUGGAAUUCCACGUGUAGCGGUGAAAUGCGUAGAGAUGGGGGAGAACACUCGUGGCGAAGGCGGCCAGCUAGACCAGUUCUGACACUGAGGCGCGACAGCGUGGGGAGCAAACAGG
rnacentral:rRNA from 1 species